ACGACCCUACGGGGCGCAGCAGUGGGGGAUAUUGCACAAUGGGGGAAACCCUGAUGCAGCGACGCCGCGUGAGUGAAGAAGUAUUUCGGUACGUAAAGCUCUAUCAGCAGGGAAGAAAAAUGACGGUACCUGACUAAGAAGCUCCGGCUAAAUACGUGCCAGCAGCCGCGGUAAUACGUAUGGAGCAAGCGUUAUCCGGAUUUACUGGGUGUAAAGGGAGCGCAGACGGCAGGGCAAGUCUGAUGUGAAAGUCCGGGGCUCAACCCCGGGACUGCAUUGGAAACUGUAUGGCUGGAGUGCAGGAG
rnacentral:rRNA from 1 species